rnacentral:rRNA from 1 species
GAACGCUGGCGGCAGGCCUAACACAUGCAAGUCGAGCGGAUGAAGGGAGAUUGCUCCUGGAUUCAGCGGCGGACGGGUGAGUAAUGCCUAGGAAUCUGCCUGGUAGUGGGGGAUAACGUCCGGAAACGGGCGCUAAUACCGCAUACGUCCUGAGGGAGAAAGUGGGGGAUCUUCGGACCUCACGCUAUCAGAUGAGCCUAGGUCGGAUUAGCUAGUUGGUGGGGUAAAGGCCUACCAAGGCGACGAUCCGUAACUGGUCUGAGAGGAUGAUCAGUCACACUGGAACUGAGACACGGUCCAGACUCCUACGGGAGGCAGCAGUGGGGAAUAUUGGACAAUGGGCGAAAGCCUGAUCCAGCCAUGCCGCGUGUGUGAAGAAGGUCUUCGGAUUGUAAAGCACUUUAAGUUGGGAGGAAGGGCAGUAAGUUAAUACCUUGCUGUUUUGACGUUACCAACAGAAUAAGCACCGGCUAACUUCGUG